rnacentral:lncRNA from 1 species
UCAUCCUACAUUGUUUUGAAGUCAACACGACAUAUUGUCUGUCCACUACAGCUGCUCGUGUAGGCCGACAACAGAAGCGGCGCCCACUGAGAACGCAAAGCAUUGUGGGUAAAUUGGUUAUCGUUUGUUGUUUAGCUCUGGACAGUGAUCGUGUGUAUCAAAUAUGAAGCAGUUUGAACUUUGCACUCUAGAGUUAUAAGCGUUUUCGUAUAACGGCGUAGUUAUGGCGAGGGAUUUUCCUGUGUCAUGAUAGGCCCCUCCCACUUUUCACAGCCUGCUCUAUUUGCCAUAGCAAUGUGCUUCCAUCUAAUAAGAUUCAUCCUACAGUGUUUUGAAGUCAACACGACAUAUCGUCUGUCCGCUACAGCUGCUCGAGUAGGACGACCACAGAAGCGGCGCCCUCUGAGAACGCAAGGCAUUGAAUUUGCUCCCCUCUGUGUAGGUUCAUCCUACAAUGUUUUGAAGUCAACACGACAUAUCGUCUGUCCGCUACAGCUGCUCGUGUUGGACGACCACAGCAGCGGCACCCUCUGAGAACGCAAGGCAUUGUGGGUAAAUUGGUUAUCGUUUGUUGUUUAGCUCUGGACAGUGAUCGUGUGUAUCAAAAAUGAAGCAGUUUGAACAUUGCAUUCUAGAGUUAUAAGCUUUUUCCUAUUACAGCGUGCUGAUGGCGAAGGAUUUUCCUGUCAUGAUAGGCCCCUCCCCUCUUUUCCACAGCCUGCUCUUUUUGCCAUAGCAAUGUGCUUCCAUCUAAU